rnacentral:rRNA from 1 species
UACAAGCACCCCGAGUGGUCGGGACGAUUAUUGGGCCUAAAGCAUCCGUAGGCGGUUCUGCAAGUCCCCCGUUAAAUCCAGCUGCUCAACAGAUGGGCCGCGGAGGAUACUACAGAGCUAGGAGGCAGGAGAGGCAAGCGGUACUCAGUGGGUAGGGGUAAAAUCCGUUGAUCCAUUGAAGACCACCAGUGGCGAAGGCGGCUUGCCAGAAUGCGCUCGACGGUGAGGGAUGAAAGCUGGGGGAGCAAACCGG